rnacentral:rRNA from 1 species
UACGAAGGGUGCAAGCGUUACUCGGAAUUACUGGGCGUAAAGCGUGCGUAGGUGGUUGUUUAAGUCUGUUGUGAAAGCCCUGGGCUCAACCUGGGAACUGCAGUGGAAACUGGACAACUAGAGUGUGGUAGAGGGGGGUGGAAUUCCCGGUGUAGUGGUGAAAUGCGUAGAGAUCGGGAGGAACACCUGUGGCGAAGGCGGCCCCCUGGGCCGGCCCUGACACUGAGACGCGAAGGCGUGGGGAGCGAACGGG